AUGUAUUGAUUUUGUUCUGCAGGAGGUCCAAACGGUGUGAUUGGUGUAGAUAAGGAAAUCCACAGAUCAUACCAAACCGACGUUGUCGAUCCUGAACCUAUUGCUUUGCCUAGAUGAGAUUUCAGAAGAUCUUUUCCAAUGCAAAUGCCGCGCUAACCAUGAGAAGCGGAAGACGAGACAGUACAUUCCAAGAAAGAGUUGGUCUUGCAAUAUUUGCCCAGGAGGGUUUUAGCCAGUAGACAGUCGGGUUUGGUAAGAAUACGCCAACUCACUUUAGCGAGGAGAGCAUCAUUGAAAUAGGUGAUAUCCUUAAAGCCUAACCCUCCAUCUCUUUUUGUCUUUGUCAUUUUAUCCCAAGCAAUCUAGGACAUUUUCCUUUUCUCUGCAGAGGUGUCCCACCAGAAACGAGUUAGAGCUGAUUGGAUUCGUUUGCACAGGGACAUCGGAAGUUUGAAGCAUGACAUGGUGUAUGUUGACAUGGCUGAGAGGACCGAUUUCAGCAUUGUAGUCUUCCCGGCAACAGAUAAGCGUUUUGCAGACCAACUUACUGCCUUUUGACGUAUUCUAUCAAUUAUGAAGUUGAAGUGAUCUUUCUUUUUCCUGCCAAACAUUUCAGGGAGGCCUAAGUAUUUACCAAGACCACCAGCUCUUUGGAUUCCUAAGGAUUGUUGGGCCUGGAUCUUCAUAGCUUCAGAGGUCUUUGACGAGAAGAAGAACAUAGUGUCAUCAGCGAAGAGGAGAUGAUUUAUCCUGGGGCAACCAAGCGCAACACGGAUCCCAGGCACCCUGACGAGAAGAAGUUCUGGACUUCAAGGAUAAUAUUUGGCUCCACUGUGUCCCAGUUUGAAUGGAAGAAACUAUCCGAGAAACCAUCUGGUCCCGGUGCUUUUUCUGCAUGGAUGGAGAAGCAUGCAGUCUUUAUUUCCAUGUCAGUUGGUAGGGCCGUGAGAGAGAGGUUCAUGUCCUCAUAGAUGCAUGGUUUAAUGGCUUCCCUCACUGUUUCCAGCCGGAAGCUAUCUUGGGAUGUGAAAAGAUCAUCAAAAUAAGAGGCCAUUAGCAACUCUUUGUUAAUUUUGGAGAUGUUUUCCUGGAUGGGAGUUGGGUUCGACAAAGCUGCGUCCAGCUGAUCUUUGAGGUUUUUAGUCAAGACGCGGCUGUUUUUUACUUUUCCUUUGUCCACUUGGAGAUUGCACUUCUGCAAAGCUUCAGCUUCUCCUCAACCUCCUCGUCCAGUUGGGUGAGCAAAGGUCGGUGGUCAGAGCCUUCAAAGCGCAAGUAUUCACUGCGACUAUAGGGAAAGGAAAUUUCCAGAGUGGCGUAAGUCAAACAGGUCACAUUCUGACAUAAAGGAACAGAUAUUUACAAAGGUUCCCACAUGGCGGGGGAGGUCCUCCUUGUUUUUCAGAGGCAUCAAUGAUAUCGUUAAAAUUGCCUGUUAAGAACCAGGGCUCCUCUCUCGUUCGGCCCAAGGUAGUUAGUUUCCCCCAUAUUUCUUUACGCCUCAAACGAUCUGGUUCUCCAUACACAAAGAAUAGGGCUAAACCUCCUCCCCCAGGGCUGUGGGGUGGGAUCAAAAGAUGGGAAGGAUAAUUCAUCCAAGAUAAGGAGCUUAAGACUUUUUCAUCUGGGUUCUUCGUCUCCAUGAGGAACAGAACCUCCAGUGAGAUCUUUGACUGAAACUCACGGAGGCGCUGAACUGUUAUAGGGUUCCUCAGCCCACAACAGUUCCAGCUUAGUAGUUUUAAAGAAGAGGAGACGGUGGAUUGUGAAAAUCCACCUUCUUCUUAACCAUAGCUGGGAAUAUGGUUCCUUGAGGCGUUCCAGCCCCAGUCUUACUACUUACCCCUCGGUGGGAGGGUCCAACAUCAGAGGUAGUCCUUC